rnacentral:rRNA from 1 species
GAUGAACGCUGGCGGCGUGCCUAAUACAUGCAAGUCGAGCGAACGGACGAGAAGCUUGCUUCUCUGAUGUUAGCGGCGGACGGGUGAGUAACACGUGGAUACCCUACCUAUAAGACUGGGAUAACUUCGGGAAACCGGCGCUAAUACCGGAUGAUAUUUUGAACCGCAUGGUUCAAAAGUGAAAGACGGUCUUGCUGUCACUUAUAGAUGGAUCCGCGCUGCAUUAGCUAGUUGGUAAGGUAACGGCUUACCAAGGCAACGAUGCAUAGACGACCUGAGAGGGUGAUCGGCCACACUGGAACUGAGACACGGUCCAGACUCCUAAGGGAGGCAGCAGUAGGGAAUCUUCCGCAAUGGGCGAAAGCCUGACGGAGCAACGCCGCGUGAGUGAUGAAGGUCUUCGGAUCGUAAAACUCUGUUAUUAGGGAAGAACAUAUGUGUAAGGAACUGUGCACAUCUUGACGGUACCUAAUCAGAAAGCCACGGCUAACUACGUG